rnacentral:rRNA from 1 species
AUUGAACGCUGGCGGCAUGCCUUACACAUGCAAGUCGAACGGUAACAGGUCUUCGGACGCUGACGAGUGGCGAACGGGUGAGUAAUGCAUCGGAACGUGCCCAGUCGUGGGGGAUAACUGCUCGAAAGAGCAGCUAAUACCGCAUACGACCUGAGGGUGAAAGCGGGGGACCGUAAGGCCUCGCGCGAUUGGAGCGGCCGAUGUCAGAUUAGCUAGUUGGUGGGGUAAAGGCCGACCAAGGCAACGAUCUGUAGUUGGUCCGAGAGGACGACCAGCCAGAAUGGGACUGAGACACGGCCCAGACUCCGACGGGAGGCAGCAGUGGGGAAUUUUGGACAAUGGGCGCAAGCCUGAUCCAGCAAUGCCGCGUGCAGGAAGAAGGCCUUCGGGUUGUAAACUGCUUUUGUCAGGGAAGAAACAACAUUACGUGUAAUGUCUUGACGGUAUCGUAAGAAUAAGGAUCGGCUAACUCCGUGCCAGCAGCCGCGGUAACAC